AGUGAACCACGCUCAUGCUUUGAAGUAUUUCGUCAGGGCAGUUCCAAUGUGCUUAGUGUACACAAUCAAAACGUGCUUUCUUGUGAAGGACCUCUGUCACUGCAGCUCAGCGUGCCAAACUGCGCGUGAAGAAAGGUGACCGAACCGCUCUGCACUGAAUUGGGCAGACUAGACUACAGCAGAACGGAAAAGGGGGCACUCAAGAUGUUCGGAUUAUACUGGUUGUCAGUGCCUCUGUUUUAAGUCAUGCCGGUGCCCUCGAAAGAAGUGAUGAUUGUGACAUGCGACCUACCGUAGAAGGAUGCAGCAUUAUACGAAGGAAGUGGAGCUUCGUACCCGAAGCGGGGAAGUGCGAACUCAACUUUGUCUGUUCUCAGCACCCCAAUUCAUU